rnacentral:precursor_RNA from 13 species
CUGAUGUGGUCUUUGUGAAGAACUGCCUUUGCUUUAACAUGGGGGUACCUGCUACGUAAGAAAAGUAAGUGCUUCCAUGUUUCAGUGGAGGUGACUCUUCAAAUCUACAACACUCAUC